GACGAACGCUGGCGGCGUGCUUAACACAUGCAAGUCGAGCGGUAAGGCCCUUUCGGGGGUACGACGAGCGGCGAACGGGUGAGUAACACGUGGGUGACCUGCCCUCAGCUCUGGGAUAAGCCCGGGAAACGUAGGGUCUAAUACCGGAUAUGACUCCAUGACGCAUGUUGUGGGGUGGAAAGCCUUGUGCGGCUGAGGAUGGGCCCGCGGCCUAUCAGCUUGUUGGUGGGGUGAUGGCCUACCAAGGCGACGACGGGUAGCCGGCCUGAGAGGGCGACCGGCCACACUGGGACUGAGACACGGCCCAGACUCCUACGGGAGGCAGCAGGUGGGGAAUCUUGGCGCAAUGGGCGAAAGCCUGACGCAGCGACGCCGCGUGA
rnacentral:rRNA from 1 species